rnacentral:tRNA from 1 species
GGAGUUGUAGCUCAGUGGCAGAGUGCUCACCUCGCAUGUGGCGGGUACUGGGUUCGAUCCUUAGCACCA